UUUUUUUUUUUUUUUUGUUAUUUUAUUGCUUUACAUUUUCAUAAUCUCAUACGAUCUUUCCUUAAAUAGUAAUGCUAAGUUCUUUAAUCAAACUUUUCAAAGUACAUGACAAACUACUAAAUCUACGAACAAGAACAAGAACAAAAACAAAAACAAAAACACAACAUGAAACUAGAUAAUAUAGAAGAAGCAGUUCAAUAAGUAACAGAUAGAGAACACUCUUAAUUAAUUAACAGUAACAUUGAUGAUAAUAAUGUACAAAGCAAAAUACUCCUCAUAAGGAGUACAUUAUACGUGGCACACAUCCCACCAAUAUUACAUGGCAAACUCAAAAUUACACAACAAAACAAAACAGUACUAAAUCAAACACACUCAUACCCAACUUCAGCUCCAUCCUCCUCUGUCUAGUUUGAGAGAAAGACAGGCCAGUUGCCUUUCGCCAUUUGGCAAAAUUUUUUCAAUCACUACCACCCUAUAUAUAUUAGUUACUAACCCUGGCCAGACCCAAAAAAAUAAGAGAAGAAAAUUGACUGGUUUGUCUCCUCCAUAUGCAAAACACCCAUGCAUCU
rnacentral:lncRNA from 1 species